ensembl:lncRNA
GACCAGAGGGCAAACAUGUCGACAUCGUCAGCGGCUAUUGAUUUCCUGGAAAGUUAUUGCUCGUUUGUGUCAAACUGUUUGGGAGAAAUAAGAGGCGAGGCAAAGUGCAAUGCAGAAAAGGAGAAAUAGAGGCGAGGAGGCAAAAGAAAGCGAGAGGAAUAAAAGUGAGGGGAAGAGGGCAAUAGUAACAACAACAGAGCAAGCCAACAGAGUGCAGGGCAAAAUAUUGCUGCGCUCAUAUGCUACCCAAGACCAACUUGUCAAUAUGUAGACUAAAGUGAUUAACAGUGACUAUAAAGAGAAUACAGUACAAGAGAUCCAGGCAUGAUUUUUAUCAACUGAUAAUGAGAUCGCAACUGAUGAGUCCCCUCUGGCCGAUGUGCUCCACAACUAUCUCUCUAGCGAUGGGGAAACAGACAGCAGUGUAUGCUCGGUGAGUGACCUUAGUCGACCGAUGGUUGUUUACCAGCUCAACUGAGACCUUGACUAUUUUCUGGGAGAGCAGUGACUAAGUGUGUAUGCCUUAGCUUUGGCGUGUUGGAAUGGCAGCAUUCCUGUAUGGCCAUCUGAGGCUGCACUGUGCUUUUAGGAACGGUACAGAGUGCCCCUCCCUUUACACCCUGCAACAACAGGAAAGCUAUCACUGGACAAAGGUGUCAAAAUAUUUGAUCUUAUUGGUCUUAUGUCACACUAUGUCCUGACAUCUUGCUCUGACAUCACCACCCAAGUUUUCACCAAAUCUGAGAGGAUUUCUUUAAUACUCAAAAAAAUACAUUGUUAUUAACUGUACAUUUAUGUGAUACCUGCUGUUUCAACUCUCUCUCUGUCCCGGACCUGCUGUUUCAACUCUCUCUCUGUCCCGGACCUGCUGUUUCAACUCUCUCUCUGUCCCGGACCUGCUGUUUCAACUCUCUUUCCCAGACCUACCGUUUCAACUCUCUCUCUCCCGGACCUGCUGUCUCACCCUCUGAAUGCUCGGCUAUGAAAAGCCAACUGACAUUCACUGAGGUGUUGAACUGUUGACUCUGCUGGUCAUCUAUGAAUGUUUGAACGUUUUGAAGAACAAUCUGGCCUUAUAAUCUCCACCCGGCAGAACGAUCUGGCCUUAUAAUCUCCACCCGGCCAAAAGAAGACUAGCCACCUUAGGUUUCUUCCUAGGUCCCUGCCUCUCUAUGGAGUUUUGGGGGUUUUAUACUGAGUUUCUGUAUAGCACUUUGUGACAACUGCUGACGUAAAAAGGGCUUUAUAAAAUACAUUUGAUUGAUUGAAUUUUCUUUAGUGAUUAGCGGUUGAGACCACUUCCAGAUCAGCACUGUUUUACUCCUGAAGUGCAAAUCAAAUGCUCUGAUUAACAUUUUGCGCCAGUCAGCUUGUGUCCUGUAACCAGACAGACAACCUGAAUUCCAUAGUUUACUGGAGAAGAGUCCAAUGGUUUUACACUACAGGGAUAUCAUUUGUAGCAGUUCCUUCUUGUGCCACCAAGUGUCACUCGUCAGAGAGGAUUCAAACAAGAAAAUGUUAGUGGAAAUUCACUUCUGACCUCAAGCAAAACCACCUCCUAGAAACCCUUUCCUUUCGCAGAUUUAACACAAUAUCUCCCUCUAGUAGAAAACUAUGCAUAAUUAUGAUGAGCUUGUAGGGCAUGGCUGUCCAACUCGCUUCCUGGAGAUCUACUGUCCUGUCGGUUCAGUCCAACUCGCUUCCUGGAGAUCUACUGUCCUGUAGGUUCAGUCCAACCCUCUUCCUGGAGAUCUGUCUUGUAGGUUCAGUCCAACCCUCCUCCUGGAGAUCUACUGUCUUGUAGGUUCAGUCCAACCCUCCUCCUGGAGAUCUACUGUCUUGUAGGUUCAGUCUAACCCUCCUGGAGAUCUACGGUCCUGUAGGUUCAGUCCAACCCUAAUUUAGCGUAUCUGAUUCUGCUAGUGGUCUUGAGCAGCUAAUUAGUAG